AUUGAUUUUAUGCUUGCAUAAAUGAUUUUUGGAUUCGGAGCGAGUGGCGAACUGGUGAGUAACACGUGGGUAACCUGCCCCGAAGCGGGGGAUAACAUUUGGAAACAAGUGCUAAUACCGCAUAAUUAGUUGGAACCGCAUGGUUCCAACUUGAAAGAUGGCUCUGCUAUCACUUUGGGAUGGACCCGCGCCGUAUUAGUUAGUUGGUGAGAUAAAAGCCCACCAAGACGAUGAUACGUAGCCGACCUGAGAGGGUAAUCGGCCACAUUGGGACUGAGACACGGCCCAGACUCCUACGGGAGGCAGCAGUAGGGAAUCUUCCACAAUGGACGAAAGUCUGAUGGAGCAACGCCGCGUGAGUGAUGAAGGUUUUCGGAUCGUAAAACUCUGUUGUUAAAGAAGAACAAGUGUUAGAGUAACUGUUAACACUUUGACGGUAUUUAACCAGAAAGCCACGGCUAACUACGUGCCAGCAGCCGCGGUAAUACGUAGGUGGCAAGCGUUGUCCGGAUUUAUUGGGCGUAAAGCGAGCGCAGGCGGUUUUGUAAGUCUGCUGUGAAAGCCCUCAGCUCAACUGAGGAAGUGCAGUGGAAACUACAAAACUUGAGUACAGAAGAGGAAAGUGGAACUCCAUGUGUAGCGGUGAAAUGCGUAGAUAUAUGGAAGAACACCAGUGGCGAAGGCGGCUUUCUGGUCUGUUACUGACGCUGAGGCUCGAAAGCAUGGGUAGCGAACAGGAUUAGAUACCCUGGUAGUCCAUGCCGUAAACGAUGAAUACUAGGUGUUGGAGGGUUUCCGCCCUUCAGUGCCGCAGCUAACGCAUUAAGUAUUCCGCCUGGGGAGUACGACCGCAAGGUUGAAACUCAAAGGAAUUGACGGGGGCCCGCACAAGUGGUGGAGCACGUGGUUUAAUUCGAUGCUACGCGAAGAACCUUACCAGCUCUUGACAUCUUCUGCCAACCCAAGAGAUUGGGCGUUCCCUUCGGGGACAGAAUGACAGGUGGUGCAUGGUUGUCGUCAGCUCGUGUCGUGAGAUGUUGGGUUAAGUCCCGCAACGAGCACAACCCUUAUUAUUAGUUGCCAGCAUUUAGUUGGGCACUCUAGUGAGACUGCCGGUGAUAAA
rnacentral:rRNA from 1 species